AGAGUUUGAUCCUGGCUCAGAUUGAACGCUGGCGGAAUGCUUUACACAUGCAAGUCGAGCGGCAGCGCGGGGGCAACCCUGGCGGCGAGCGGCGAACGGGUGAGUAAUGUAUCGGAACGUACCUCGUCGUGGGGGAUAACGCACCGAAAGGUGUGCUAAUACCGCAUACGUCCUGAGGGAGAAAGCGGGGGAUCGCAAGACCUCGCGCGAUGAGAGCGGCCGAUAUCUGAUUAGCUAGUUGGUGGGGUAAAGGCUCACCAAGGCGACGAUCAGUAGCUGGUCUGAGAGGACGACCAGCCACACUGGGACUGAGACACGGCCCAGACUCCUACGGGAGGCAGCAGUGGGGAAUUUUGGACAAUGGGGGAAACCCUGAUCCAGCCAUUCCGCGUGAGUGAAGAAGGCCUUCGGGUUGUAAAGCUCUUUCAGCAGGAACGAAACGGGGGCGGCUAAUACCUGCUCCUAAUGACGGUACCUGAAGAAGAAGCACCGGCUAACUACGUGCCAGCAGCCGCGGUAAUACGUAGGGUGCGAGCGUUAAUCGGAAUUACUGGGCGUAAAGCGUGCGCAGGCGGUUAUUUAAGACAGAUGUGAAAUCCCCGGGCUCAACCUGGGAAUGGCGGUGGAUACUGGCUUGCUGGAGUACGGUAGAGGAAGGUGGAAUUCCCGGUGUAGCGGUGAAAUGCGUAGAGAUCGGGAGGAACAUCAGUGGCGAAGGCGACCUUCUGGACCAGUACUGACGC
rnacentral:rRNA from 1 species